UACGAAGGGGGCUAGCGUUGCUCGGAAUUACUGGGCGUAAAGCGCUCGUAGGCGGUUUCUUAAGUCGGGGGUGAAAUCCUGGAGCUCAACUCCAGAACUGCCUUCGAUACUGGGAAACUUGAGUCCGGGAGAGGUGAGUGGAACUGCGAGUGUAGAGGUGAAAUUCGUAGAUAUUCGCAAGAACACCAGUGGCGAAGGCGGCUCACUGGCCCGAUACUGACGCUGAGGCACGAAAGCGUGGGGAGCGAACAGG
rnacentral:rRNA from 1 species